UACGAAGGGGGCUAGCGUUGCUCGGAAUCACUGGGCGUAAAGGGCGCGUAGGCGGCCAUUCAAGUCAGAGGUGAAAGCCCAAGGCUCAACCUUGGAAUUGCCUUUGAUACUGUUUGGCUUGAGACCGGAAGAGGUUAGUGGAACUGCGAGUGUAGAGGUGAAAUUCGUAGAUAUUCGCAAGAACACCAGUGGCGAAGGCGGCUAACUGGUCCGGUUCUGACGCUGAGGCGCGAAAGCGUGGGAGCAAACAGG
rnacentral:rRNA from 1 species